rnacentral:rRNA from 1 species
CCGUGAGGGAAAGGCGAAAAGAACCCCUGUGAGGGGAGUGAAAUAGAACCUGAAACCGUGUACGUACAAGCAGUAGGAGCACCUUCGUGGUGUGACUGCGUACCUUUUGUAUAAUGGGUCAGCGACUUAUAUUCAGUGGCAAGGUUAACCGUAUAGGGGAGCCGUAGCGAAAGCGAGUCUUAACUGGGCGCUCAGUCUCUGGAUAUAGACCCGAAACCGGGUGAUCUAGCCAUGGGCAGGUUGAAGGUUGAGUAACAUCAACUGGAGGACCGAACCGACUAAUGUUGAAAAAUUAGCGGAUGACUUGUGGCUAGGGGUGAAAGGCCAAUCAAACUCGGAGAUAGCUGGUUCUCCCCGAAAGCUAUUUAGGUAGCGCCUCGGACGAAUACUACUGGGGGUAGAGCACUGUUAAGGCUAGGGGGUCAUCCCGACUUACCAACCCUUUGCAAACUCCGAAUACCAGUAAGUACUAUCCGGGAGACACACGGCGGGUGCUAACGUCCGUCGUGGAGAGGGAAACAACCCAGACCGCCAGCUAAGGUCCCAAAGUAUUGCUAAGUGGGAAACGAUGUGGGAAGGCUCAGACAGCUAGGAUGUUGGCUUAGAAGCAGCCAUCAUUUAAAGAAAGCGUAAUAGCUCACUAGUCGAGUCGGCCUGCGCGGAAGAUGUAACGGGGCUAAGCAAUACACCGAAGCUGCGGCAAUGUCUUUUAGA